rnacentral:rRNA from 1 species
CAGCAGCCGCGGGAAUACGGAGGGUGCAAGCGUUAAUCGGAAUUACUGGGCGUAAAGCGCACGCAGGCGGUCUGUCAAGUCAGAUGUGAAAUCCCCGGGCUUAACCUGGGAACUGCAUUUGAAACUGGCAGGCUAGAGUCUUGUAGAGGGGGGUAGAAUUUCAGGUGUAGCGGUGAAAUGCGUAGAGAUCUGGAGGAAUACCGGUGGCGAAGGCGGCCCCCUGGACAAAGACUGACGCUCAGGUGCGAAAGCGUGGGGAGCAAACAGGAUUAGAUACCCGUGUAGUCCCUGUCUCUUAUAC